rnacentral:rRNA from 1 species
AUUGAACGCUGGCGGCAUGCCUUACACAUGCAAGUCGAACGGCAGCACGGGUGCUUGCACCUGGUGGCGAGUGGCGAACGGGUGAGUAAUACAUCGGAACGUACCUUAUCGUGGGGGAUAACGCAGCGAAAGCUGUGCUAAUACCGCAUACGCCCUGAGGGGGAAAGCGGGGGAUCGAAAGACUUCGCGCGAUUAGAGCGGCCGAUGCCUGAUUAGCUUGUUGGUGGGGUAAAAGCCCACCAAGGCGACGAUCAGUAGCUGGUCUGAGAGGACGAUCAGCCACACUGGGACUGAGGCACGGCCCAGACUCCUACGGGAGGCAGCAGUGGGGAAUUUUGGACAAUGGGGGCAACCCUGAUCCAGCAAUGCCGCGUGAGUGAAGAAGGCCUUCGGGUUGUAAAGCUCUUUUGUCAGGGAAGAAACACCGGCUCUAACACAGUCCGGGAAUGACGGUACCUGAAGAGUAAGCACCGGCUAACUACGUGCCAGCAGCCGCCGCGG